rnacentral:lncRNA from 1 species
CUGGUUCUCCGAGCGCUUAAGGCUCCCCCAAAUAGGAUUAGGCGAAGGCGCCGGUGCACGGCCGAAACUGAGCGGCCCGCAUGCCCACUCCCCGGCCCAGAGAUGUUCCUCCACUCUUCCGGUUGCCGCGGCAGUCUUCUGUUCCGCAGCGGUUUCCCCUUCCCGGCCACUACCACCCGCAGAAACCUAAGCGCGCUCACAUCCGUAGCAGCUACUCCCGACAUGUAUCGCGGCGGGCGCGGCGGCGGCGGCACCAACUCCCAGCGUGGUCGCGGGCGCGGGCGCGGGCGUGGCGGCGGAGGCAGAGGAGGCCGUGGCGGCGGCGGCGGGGGCCGUGGUGAGCAGAGAUGGUGGGAUCCGCANNNNN